rnacentral:rRNA from 1 species
UACGUAGGGGGGCAAGCGUUGUCCGGAUUUAUUGGGCGUAAAGAGCUCGUAGGCGGUCUGUCACGUCGGCUGUGAAAACCCGGGGCUCAACCCCGGGCCUGCAGUCGAUACGGGCAAACUAGAGUUCGGCAGGGGAGACUGGAAUUCCUGGUGUAGCGGUGAAAUGCGCAGAUAUCAGGAGGAACACCGGUGGCGAAGGCGGGUCUCUGGGCCGAUACUGACGCUGAGGAGCGAAAGCGUGGGGAGCGAACAGG